AUGUACUCACCUACAACAUUAAUGUAUUAGAUCCCAUCACAAUUCUACAGUUAAGUGCACUUCGGCUCGAGUAGCACUCGGAUGGGUGACCUCCUGAGAAUUCCUAGUGCAACACAUA
rfam:Picea glauca, whole genome shotgun sequence.